GGAUUAGAUACCCUGGUAGUCCACGCCGUAAACGAUGUCUACUUGCAGCUCGGUUCGUAAGAACGGUUUUGCGAAGCUAACGCGUUAAGUAGACCGCCUGGGGAGUACGGUCGCAAGAUUAAAACUCAAAUGAAUUGACGGGGGCCCGCACAAGCGGUGGAGCAUGUGGUUUAAUUCGAUGCAACGCGAAGAACCUUACCUACUCUUGACAUCCUCAGAAGAGACUGGAGACAGUCUUGUGCCUUCGGGAACUGAGAGACAGGUGCUGCAUGGCUGUCGUCAGCUCGUGCC
rnacentral:rRNA from 1 species